UACGUAGGGUGCAAGCGUUGUCCGGAAUUAUUGGGCGUAAAGAGCUCGUAGGCGGUUUGUCGCGUCUGCUGUGAAAGACCGGGGCUCAACUCCGGUUCUGCAGUGGGUACGGGCAGACUAGAGUGAUGUAGGGGAGACUGGAAUUCCUGGUGUAGCGGUGAAAUGCGCAGAUAUCAGGAGGAACAUCGAUGGCGAAGGCAGGUCUCUGGGCAUUAACUGACGCUGAGGAGCGAAAGCAUGGGGAGCGAACAGG
rnacentral:rRNA from 1 species